AACGAACGCUGGCGGCAUGCCUAACACAUGCAAGUCGAACGAGACCUUCGUGUCUAGUUGCGCACGGGUGCUUAACGCGUGGUAACCUGCCCUUAGGUUCGGAAUAACUCCCCUAAGGAUGUGCUAAUACCGGUUGAUCUCUUCGGACCAAAGAUUUAUCGCCUUUGGAUGGGCCCGCGUUAGAUUAGCUGGUUGGUAGGGUAAAAGCCUACCAAGGAGACGAUCCAUAGCUGGUAUGAGAGGAUGAUAAGCCACAAUGGGAAUGCGACACGGCCCAGAAUAGUUCGGGAGGUAGCAGUGGGGAAUAUUGGACAAUGGGCGCAAGCGUGAUACAGCAAUGCGGCGUGAGUGAUGCAGGCCUUAGGGUUGUAAAGCUCUUUUACACGGGAUGAUAAUGACAGUACCGGGAGAAUAAGCUCCGGCUAACUACGUG
rnacentral:rRNA from 1 species